UGGGGCGUCGCCAAGCGGUAAGGCACGGGGUUUUGAUCCCCGCAUUCGCAGGUUCGAAUCCUGCCGCCCCAG
rnacentral:tRNA from 2 species